rnacentral:rRNA from 1 species
ACACUCGACACCUACGGGGGCAGCAGUGAGGGAUAUUGGUCAAUGGGGGAAACCCUGAACCAGCAACGCCGCGUGAGGGAUGACGGUCUUCGGAUUGUAAACCUCUGUCCUCUGUGAAGAUAAUGACGGUAGCAGAGGAGGAAGCUCCGGCUAACUACGUGCCCGCAGCCGCGGUAAUCUGAGCGGGCUGGCAAGGC